rnacentral:rRNA from 1 species
AUGAUCAUUGGAGACUUCAAUGAAAUUUUAAUUGCAAAUGAGAAGGAAGGUGGGAACACCAGGCCGCUACACUUCAUGCAAAAUUUCAGAGAUUGCAUUGAGGAUUGCGGAUUACAGGAAGUCAUGUUUAUUGGAGAUCCCUUUACAUGGAGUAGGGGUACGACUAGGGAGCGUCUUGACAGAGCUUUAUGCAACGGCAAGUGGUCUGAGAAAUUCCCCUACGCGGCUGUAGUACAUGAGCAUCAUAUCCAUUCAGAUCAUAGACCGCUUGUGCUGGUUACAAAUUACUUUGCAACGGUGUUAUCACCACAACCGAAAGGAGAGAGGAGGUUUGAAGCGCGUUGGUUGAAGGAGGAGACAGUGAAUGAGAUCGUCAACACGGCAUGA